AGAUUGAUCAAUCAUCAAUAUAUAAAGGCAUCAAUCGACAUCAGCAAUUGCAUUUGCAAGCAAUCCAUUCUCAGAAUUAGCAUCCUUUGUAACAAGUAUAUGAACAAAUACAUACACUAAAAGUGUAUGGAGACAUGGAGUUCACAGCUGCAUCAGAUCCAACAUUCAUAUGAAAUAUGUAAAUAAUUAAAAGAUACUACAAACUAGAACUAAGCUUUCCAUACAUUAUACAUAAUAUGUGUUCAUUUAAAGACUAAUUCUUGUGUGGUUGCUCCUUGCUCCUGCAAUGCAUUCCAAUUCUACCUGGAAAAAAUAACAAAGAGAAGUUUAGAACAUAAGCUUUUGGAUUAGUGCAAGAUGAAAUGUUCUAUGAUGAAACCGUGAGAGAUGUUCCUUACAAAUGUCUUGAUGUUUUCUUGGAGCACAAAUGUCUUAGGUUGUGUUGGAGUGGUCAGCUUUGUCUUUUUGACCUAAAAUGUUUCAAAGUAGUAUCAGAUUGGCAGGCAAACAACAAUUGGCAUAACCAUGCAAGCGUAUGUGAUUCAACUGACUGAAACUAUAUCUUGUUUGGAUAUAUUUCGAAAUGUACAUACCUUGGCUUGUUCUGAUCUUACUCAUGCGUAAUUAAGAUGCAUAAACACUUCCUCAAAUGGUACAAUUAUGAAACAUACUUAGUAUCUAUGUAGCUAAAGUAAAAAUAAAUCAUGAAAACAAUAUGUACAGCUCAUUAGUGGUGAAACAAGAAGUACGCCUUGUCUGCUGCACAAAGUCAUGUGAAGCCAUGUAUAAAUAAUAAAGUGUAGACCACAUAGACAUGUCAUUUUGCUUCGUAAGUAGUAGGGCAAGCCAAGAGACGCUGGUUUGCGAAAGCUAAAACUAUACAUAGUUAAUCAAAGAUGAGCAACUUUGAUAAAAUGACAACACUUUUCCUCGUACAUUUAUCGUAUGACCCACCUUUCAUUUUUUUUGAUAAAAUGGCACACGUUUCAUUGAUAGCUAGACAAAAUGGCACAAGCAAUUUUUUCCCUCUAUUUCUACGUAUGGGCCCGCACAUCAGAUUAUUUGGGACAGUUUUGCCCUUUAGCUUGUUUACUCUAGUUCCAUUGAACCUAUCGAUCGAUACAAGAAACAGGAACGAGACAGGAGGAUAGGAAGAAUAGCGCCGCCAUCCUUCCUAUCGACACGCUGUGUGUUCUCCAUUGCCAUCUCUCCAUGCUUAGCCCAUUCUCUUGCCAUCGCCUCGCUGCAACUGUUCCCCUGUGUGUCCAACAAACAGUGGACUCUCUUUCAGACCCUGCAGUUUGGUUCCUGCUAUCAAGUCCUCCUAUCCUCGCAACUCCACAUCCCUACCCCAUGUUGUGAAGUGUGCCAUAUCGUGUGCAUGUUGAUUACAUCCCUACAUGCUGCCAAAGUGUGCUACCUAAACAUCUAAAUCAACAAGCAUCCAUAUCCUGUUGUUGUCAGAAGCUACAACUAAGCUAGCAACUCGUAUGAAUAUUUAGAGCCAAUUACUUUCUUCAGGCAGCAACUACGUCCAUUACAGAGAUAGCAUCAAGCAAGUACAGAAGCUACAGCUAGAGUAGCUUUAGCGACAUGAGCGAUCAACGGACGCUCUAGCAGCUUGAGCGACCAAUGCAAGCAAGCAAACUACAAAAGUGACGCCCAGCACGAUGCACGGUAGCUUCGACAUCAGGGCAUGACAAAGGGUCACACGGCAGCAUGAAGAAGAUGUCGAGGCACACUUUGAAAGAAUGGUGCGGCAACAGUAAGGAGCGGUGCUUGCCUUCCGCCGCUUGGCGAGGGAGCAUCGAUCUUACCACGACACAUCCACGCCUCCUCCACAUGAACGGGCGGGCGGGCAGAGCACGGCAAGGCGACGACAGGAGAAGAGCGGCGCCUGGGAGGAAGGAUGGCGAGGUGGCAGCCCUGUUGUUCCUCUCCUUCUGUCUCACGGCUAAUUUUGGUAUGGGAGGGCAAAAUCGUCCCAAAUAAUCUAACGUGCAGGCUUUGAUCUAGAAAUAGAGGAAAAAGAUCACUUUGUGCCAUUUUGGCCAACUAUCAAUCUAAAGUAUGCCAUUUUAUCAAAGAAAAUGAAAGGUGUGUCAUAGGACCAAAGUAUGAGGAAAGAAGUGUAAUUUUAUCAAAUUGCUCUUAAAAGAUAGAUAUAGGAAUCAUGUUGUGAUAGCAGAUUAAAGUAGAUCUCUCUUACAACAAGUAAAUGCAAUCUGCUUAAUGGCAAGUCAUUCUAGCAUACUGGCAUAAUGGGAUUCGAGGUAGCACCUGCUAGUAAACCAGAUUAAUGUACUCGCUCCUUUUCCGCUAAAAGGACGAACUACCAAAUUCAUAAAUUACAGAGUGGAUAAAGAGCAGAAAAUGUGUACACAAGUUGCAAGACGCACCACCAAUGUGGUUGCUCCAUCAGAUCUGAAUCUGAUACAUGAGUUCCCUGAUUGAUGUUGGUUUGUCUUAACGGUGAGAUUUGGUGACAACUAAUCUGGAUAUACACCCGCAAAAAGAAAAACUAAUCUGGAUAUAAGAAGCGUGAGAUGCGUACUUGAAAGAUGUAAAGAUAUAAUGUUGUGAUAGCAGAUUAAAGUAGAUCUCUCUUACAACAAGUAAAUGCAAUCUGCUUAAUGGCAAGUCAUUCUAGCAUACUGGCAUAAUGGGAUUCGAGGUAGCACCUGCUAGUAAACCAGAUUAAUGUACUCGCUCCUUUUCCGCUAAAAGGACGAACUACCAAAUUCAUAAAUUACAGAGUGGAUAAAGAGCAGAAAAUGUGUACACAAGUUGCAAGACGCACCACCAAUGUGGUUGCUCCAUCAGAUCUGAAUCUGAUACAUGAGUUCCCUGAUUGAUGUUGGUUUGUCUUAACGGUGAGAUUUGGUGACAACUAAUCUGGAUAUACACCCGCAAAAAGAAAAACUAAUCUGGAUAUAAGAAGCGUGAGAUGCGUACUUGAAAGAUGUAAAGAUAUAAUGGUAAAAUGUAGAGCAGAUGGGAUUCGAGGGAGCACCUGCUUGAUAGAGCAGAUGGGAUUUGAGGGUGCGCUGGCUUGAUGUGGCAGAAUUUUGCAGGAGGAUGACGCCGGCAUGGACCUGGCUUGCGGACGUUGAGGACGACGCCAGGAGAGGUGCGGCCAGGGGACGGGGAGGACAAGGGAAGCCGACCGGCCCUGACUGGUGAGGUCGUCGACCGAGGAGACCAGACGUAGCCGGCAGAGGGCACCGCUCGGGGCGAGGCUUGGAGCCGCCGCAGAUUGGAUAUGGUGGGUUGUAGAAACUGGGAGCGGAAAAGAUGGGGUGCGUGGGAGACGACCCCAGUUUUAGUUAGUGAAAAAAAUC
rnacentral:lncRNA from 1 species